CCAGCCUCCCCUGCCCACCCGGGCCCCACAAGAGUCCGAUCCCGAUCUUCCGAGAGCGUCGAUCCGCGGGAUCCCGGAGCCCGACCUGCGCGGAUCUCCAAGCCGGGAGCCGCGGACAGAGCUUAAGAAAACAAACAAACAAACAAACAAAAAUGCAGAGCACUGGGCCUUUGUGUGAUGUCACAGAUCCACUCAGUUCACCCACCUGGAACAACCUGUCUGAAUUUCUUUUUGUGGAUUAUAUUGUUCCUGUUUUUGAAACAUGUGUUGGUUUAGUUAUUUGUAGCCAAAUCCUCCCUGUUACACAAAAAUAAAAAUCAAAAAUUUAAAAAAUUUCAA